AACGGAAAGCUCUAGACACCUCAAUGUGAGAAUCCAGGAACUUCGUUUAUUGUAGAUUGACAACAGCUUAAUAUACACUCUAUAAUAGGUUCAUGAAUAUUACAGAAAUUAGGCUCAUUAUUGGUGCUCAGUUAGGUGGUGAUAUCAUCUUAACUGUCUUUCAUUGUUUACACAGGUGGCUCAUUAAGUGUCUUUGUUUUGGUAAUGCCUAGCUCCUGUUUUUCAGCUCAAUUUAGAAUACCCAAGGACGCUGCUGCUUUCUCACGGCCCUGCUAUCUCAGACUUUCUCAUGGGCCUAGUCAGACUGCGUCUUAUACUUUAGCAGCUCAUCCAUAGCCUUAGCCAUGUUCAUAUGUCCUCGCAUUUCUAACCAAUCCUCUAUAAUUUCCCCUGUUUUUAUUUUGGGCCAACAAUGCUUUCUUUGUCAUAGUAUUUACACGUCUAGUAAUACAAGAAAAGGCAACACGAGCUACUACUAAGAUUACAAUAACUGUCAAUAUCUAUCUUUAACUUAUAUACCGAGUUAAAAGGCAUACCAAAUAAGCAAGUACGAAAAGGAUCUGAGGCAGAUGCCAAGGACAAGCAAAAGGAUGAUUGUCCUGUUUGAUUUGCCCAGGUGACCCAUAUGUUUUUCCGAGGGUCAAUGGUGUGAAGAGCCUCAACAUUGGCAAUCAUACCCGUGAAAAGAGGAAAACCUAUUACAUAGCCGUACAAUGAAAUAGACAGAAAUCCUAACAUGUUUGCUAUACUAAUACACAAAAACAGUAAAUCAAGUCCAGGCACGUAAGUCUUGCAGUUCCUUUGUGUACAGUUACUCAGUUAAUUCAGAUGCUGUUCCAGUGUCUCCCUCUUCAGCAGGUGCAGGGGAAUCAGGUGUUGAAGAGGCUGGAAGUGGUGGUAUAAGGUCAGGUGAGGCUGCAGGCACCGCAGGUGUCUCUCCUCCUCGUUCUCCAGGGCUCUCAAUCGCUGGCUUGACCCAACGACUGGGAACCCACA